rnacentral:lncRNA from 1 species
CUCUGAGAGAGUGCUGAGACACUGUGGGGGAGGGGUGGCCGGUUCCAAGGAACUCCAGCUGUUUGGGGUUGUAUUCUUCACCCCCGGUGUUUUUAGCUUCUCUGCUAGGCUUCUGACUUGCUGCCAGGGCAAUCCAAUCCUGUAGCGAAGCUCUCCCCGCAGAGACGGCUGAGAUCACACCCCAACCCCCUCUGGUCUGCUGGCUGUGAGCUGCCUGCCGGAUCUAAAACCGUCCUGCCCUCGAGCAAAAACAGACCUUUCCUGGCGAAUCUCAAGGAUGUCUUCUCUUGGUAACUGUUUGUGGGAUUUUUUUUCAGUCAGGCAUUAAUUCAGAGGCUUGUAAUGAGAUGGAUCCUGAGAGAAAAUGCAGAGCUUACACAGCUGUGUGCCUCCUCUCCGCCAUCUUGGCCGGAAGUCCAGAAGACCCUUACCCAAAAUGACUACUCAGAGAUCAUUCAAAAUAGAAAGCAGAAAGAUUGUUUAUUAAAAUCUCUGGAGGAGGAGAUGAGAUUUUGGUCACAUUACAACUAUAUUGACCUGCUUUUGGGAUCUAAAUCAGCCCAUUGAUCUUUGUCAGCACACCAUACCCAUCCCCCUGCUUGGACUGAGAGCCAGUUCUCCAUCCCUUAUCAGCAUGAAGCAGUUUUUGAAUGAGAGACCGUUGCCCCUGCCUCUGACGGACUGAUAUGGGGGACUUGGAAUGGUUGAUGAAUGACGGUUAAACCCGGACUUGGUCAUCUAUUACUGUGUGUUUAAGAAUUGGGAUGGAAAUUGUUAAAAUUGGUAACUGUUGCUGUUAAGGAAGUUAUAAUAUGCUUAUCUAUGUUUACUUCAGAAUAUGUAACUGUUUGAGGAAUUUUUUUUAGGACACUCCUCUUGUACUAAUUUGUUAUGUACAGAACUUUACUUCACUCUUGGGAUUUAUGUGUGGGAUGGUUAUUUGACUAUUUACUUUUUUUUUUUUUUUUGGAUGGUUCCUUUCCAUGAGAAAAAAAAGAGAGGAAAAGAUAGGUAACUAGGGAAACUGGUGGAUUUUUCUCAAAAUACCUAAAAGAGUGGGAAACUCUUAGUUUUCUGUUCACUUUGCCUUAGGUAUUUUGCCCCACACCCCUAUCUCACCAGUUCAGAUUGAAUCGGAAGUCCUUAAGCAGUCCUUUUUUGUUUUUAACCAUGCUUUAGCUUUGAAACCCCUUAUUCUGUGGAAUUGCCCUGGCAGACUCAGUUUCUGGGACUAUUUUUUUUUUUUUUUUUUAGGAAUAACUAGAAAUUAUACACUUUGGGACUUGGCAGUCUCCAGCCCUGUAACCCCAGUUUCUUAAUUGGUAUCUCAGCAUUCUCUUAUUUGUUUUGUGAUUUGAUUUAUCUAAAUCUGAGAGUGCAAGAUCGAGAUCUCCCGCUAUUAUAGUUUUGCUGUCUAUUUCUUCUCGUAACUCUCUUAACUUCUCCUUUAAGAAGUUAGAUGCUAUACCACUUAGUGCAUAUAUGUUUAAUACUGAUAUUGCUUCAUUGUCUAUAGUACCUUUUAGCAAGAUAUAGUUUCCUUCCUUAUCUCUUUUAAUUAGAUCAAUUUUUGCUUUUGCUUGAUCUGAGAUAAGGAUGGCUACCCCUGCUUUUUUGACUUCACCUGACGCAUAAUAGAUUCUGCUCUAGCCUUUUAUCUUUACUCUGUAUGUAUUUCCCUGUUUUAAAUGUGUUUCCUGUAAACAACAUAUUAUAGGGUUCUGACUUUUCAUCCAGUCUGCUAUCCGCCUCCUCUUUAUGGGGGAGUUCAUCCCAUUCACAUUUACGGUUAAAAUUACUAAUUUGGUAUCUCAGCAUUCUCAAGGGACAUUGCAGUUUUGAGAUCAACCCUCUAUAGUUCAGGGUUUGCCGGCCUUCAUGGUCUAACUGUGCAUAUCUGCCCAGAAAUCCUUUCUGGAUCCCAGUAGGUGCUCUUGUUCUAUCAGAGGGAACAGGUGGAGAUACUCCAAGCCCCACUCUCUCCCUCCUUUGAAAUCCCUGACAGACUUGGGGUGCCCCUCCUAGCAUAGGCAGCAUGACUGUUUUGAGUACUGCUACUCCCUAUAUAAGCAGAAGCUGAGUUAAGUGCACAAAUGACUGAAGACCACCUAACAGUGAACUGUCCAUCUCAAACUGGAUUCUCUAGCUGAUAUGAGGGCCUUUGUACUGCUGAUAAUUCUGGGGUUAUCAGGAAGAGACUUGCCCUUGCCAUAAGUCCUUGCAUUUUCUAGUUUCAUUUUGAUUUAUUUGCUUCACAUCGGGUUGGCCAAAAUUAUGGUGAUGAGAUCUCCCAAGUGUCUAGGGGAGGUAAUUCAAUAAUUCAAAUUUUCAGAAGGAGAGUGUGUAAUGUUGUGCCUCAGUUUCCCUAGAUUGUCGUCUUUGUUAAUUUAUCUUUGUAUUUUUAUGUCUGUCAAAUGCCAAUCUAUUCUGUGAUAACUGUUUCCAAGACAAGUGGUGGAAGCAAUUUUUAUAGUAUGAAUUUAUUGCAAUCAGUGGUAUUAUCCUGUUGCCAUUAUAUCUACCCUGUAUAAUUACAUUAGUAACCAGAAUAAUUCAAUGGAGCCUACCAAAAUAUUGCAUACAGAAGAUACUAUUAAAAUGAUGAUUCUUUAGAGAAAAAGCUGGAAUAUAUUAGAGAGGGAUGAUCUUGAUGGUGAACUUGAUAAACAAUAUAUAGAUAUGUUAGCUGAUUUUGAACAGUGUGUAAGUUCUUCAUAGAAAUAUGAUGUUACAAGGCAGGAACUGUGUGGAAUAGAAAAAUAAAGUCAAGAACUUACAGGAAUGUAUGAAUUCUUUUUCUGCAUUUUAUUUUCAUUAUUUCUGUGUUUUCCCUAUGAUCUAUAUAAUAUGUGCAGGUCCAUUUUUACUUGAACCUUGGCCAGCUAUAACCAUAUUUACUUAACCUGAGCUGAUGACAUUUAUCAGUAUUUGAUAUUUAUUGAUAUUGAGUCUAUCAGCUUGACCACUAUCUGCUUGAUUAAGCCUGAAGGUCUGAUUUUCUGUUCCUAGAAAUCAGGUGAUUUCGGAGAAACAGAAACUUUCCAUUCCAAUCUCUCUGAAUAGCAAUAACCAAUUAGAUGCCUUCCCCUCCCCUUCUCAAUGCUCCCUUACUUGUGAUGUAAUCUCUUGUAUAAAAGCUUUGUAUCUUUAAUACUUCUUUAGUCCUCCUACCACAAGCUUUCUCUUUCUUAUCUCAUGAUGGGACAGCUCAUCCUCUGGAAGUUUUUAAUAAACAAACUUCCUGCUUUCUAUUUUGAGUGAUCUCUGAGUAGUCAUUUUGGGUAAGGGUUUUCUACAUCCCUCACACUACUGAGAGAUCAAAGAUAGUGAGGACUGAGAAAAAUCCAUGAGGGAAUUAUUGAUUAUACUUUCAAUCCAGUUUCAAUCAAGUUGUGGCAUUAAAUUCAACAAAAUAGGU